rnacentral:rRNA from 1 species
UACGUAGGUCCCGAGCGUUGUCCGGAUUAUUGGGCGUAAAGCGAGCGCAGGUGGUUUAUUAAGUCUGGUGUAAAAGGCAGUGGCUCAACCAUUGUAUGCAUUGGAAACUGGUAGACUUGAGUGCAGGAGAGGAGAGUGGAAUUCCAUGUGUAGCGGUGAAAUGCGUAGAUAUAUGGAGGAACACCGGUGGCGAAAGCGGCUCUCUGGCCUGUAACUGACACUGAGGCUCGAAAGCGUGGGGAGCAAACAGG